AUAAUAGUUUCUCAGCAUCAACCCUCACAUAGCAUAUCUAUUUUUCUAGUUUUGUUAUUCCUGGCAACUGAAACCCACGAGGACUUUCUCUUCAUAAUCCACAGGUUUCACUCCCCUACAACAAUUCUGAGUACUCAUCAAAUAUCCUAUUUCUUCUUCUUUAUCGAUGGAAUCACACAGCUCUCCUUUCCAUCCUCUGCAGUCUGAUAUGUGCAUGAGAGAGCAAGCAGAACAUUUUCUGUGCUCCAGAAAUAGCAUGGUGUUUCCAUGCAGUGUAAUGUCACUGGAGACCUGAAGUAACUGUAGUCUAGUGGAAGAGCAGUCAGCUGUGAUUUUUGUGGAAAGAAGAGAUGAAGAAAUGAGCCUGCUAGAACACACAUGCUGAUGCCGCAUCCUUCUAGAAGCACUGGUUGAAUGAG
rnacentral:lncRNA from 1 species